rnacentral:rRNA from 1 species
AAGUCGUAACAAGGUUUCCGUAGGUGAACCUGCGGAAGGAUCAUUCAUAAUAAGUGUUUAUGGCACUUCCUAAAUCCAUAUCCACCUUGUGUGCAAUGUCAGCCGUUUUCUUUAUGAAAGCGGCCAAACAUCAACUUAUUUUUUAACUGUCAGUCUGAAAACUAUUAUGAAUAAACAAUUCAAAUACAACUUUCAACAACGGAUCUCUUGGCUCUCGCAUCGAUGAAGAACGCAGCGAAAUGCGAUACGUAAUGUGAAUUGCAGAAUUCAGUGAAUCAUCGAAUCUUUGAACGCAUAUUGCGCUCUUUGGUAUUCCGAAGAGCAUGCUUGUUUGAGUAUCAGUAAACACCUCAAAGCCUUCAAUUCAGUUUGGAAGUUUUGGACUUGAGCAAUCCCAACACCAGUCUUGCGACUGGCGGAGGGCUGCUUGAAAUGCAGGUGCAGCUGGACAUUCUCCUGAGCUAUAAGCAUAUUUAUUUAGUCCCGUCAAACGGAUUAUUACUUUUGCUGCAGCUAACAUAAAGGGAGUCUGACCGUAUUGGCUGACUGAUGCAGGAUUUCACAAGAGCUGGCAACAGCUUCUUGUAAAACUCGAUCUCAAAUCAAGUAAGACUACCCGCUGAACUUAA